rnacentral:rRNA from 1 species
CCAAUAGCGUAUAUUAAAGUUGUUGCAGUUAAAAAGCUCGUAGUUGAACUUCGGGGUUUACCCAUUGGUCAGGCUUAAUUGUCUGUACUGGUGAGAUGAAUCUCUACCUUCUGAGGAACUUUCAUGCCAUUUAUUUGGUGUGAUUGGAAAUCAGGACUAUUACUUUGAAAAAAUUAGAGUGUUUAAAGCAGGCUAACGUCUGAAUAUAUUAGCAUGGAAUAAUGAAAUAGGACGGCUUGGUUCUAUUUCGUUGGUUUCUAGGAUCACCGUAAUGAUUAAUAGGGAUAGUUGGGGGCAUUAGUAUUCAAUUGUCAGAGGUGAAAUUCUUGGAUUUAUUGAAGACUAACUACUGCGAAAGCAUUUGCCAAGGAUGUUUUCAUUAAUCAAGAACGAAAGUUAGGGGAUCGAAGACGAUCGGAUACCGUCGUAGUCUUAACCAUAAACUAUGCCGACUAGGGAUCGGACGAAGUUAAUUUUAUAAUGACGCGUUCGGCACCUUACG